rnacentral:rRNA from 1 species
AGAGUUUGAUCCUGGCUCAGGAUGAACGCUGGCGGCGUGCUUAACACAUGCAAGUCGAACGGACCCAUUUCGAUGGGUUAGUGGCGGACGGGUGCGUAACACGUAGGUGACCUGCCCUGGAGUGGGGAAUAAUUCCGCGAAAGCGGGACUAAUACCGCAUAUGCUCAUUGAUUCAAUUGAAUGAGUAAAGCAGUGAUGUGCUCCAGGAUGGGCCUGCGGCGGAUUAGCUAGUUGGUGGGGUAAAGGCCUACCAAGGCGAUGAUCCGUAGGGGGCGUGAGAGCGUGACCCCCCACAUUGGCACUGAGACACGGGCCAAACUCCUACGGGAGGCAGCAGUGAGGAAUAUUGCACAAUGGGCGAAAGCCUGAUGCAGCAACGCCGCGUGAGGGACGAAGGCCUUCGGGUCGUAAACCUCUUUUCUGAGGGACGAGACAAGGACGGUACCUCAGGAAUAAGUCUCGGCUAACUACGUGCCAGCAGCCGCGGUAAAACGUAGGAGGCGAGCGUUAUCCGGAUUUACUGGGCGUAAAGCGCACGCAGGCGGCUCGGCAAGUUGGGCGUUAAAGCUCCUGGCUUAACUGGGAGAGGUCGUUCGAAACUACCGGGCUUGAGGUUGGGAGAGGGGUGUGGAAUUCCCGGUGUAGUGGUGGAAUGCGUAGAUAUCGGGAGGAACACCAGUGGCGAAGGCGGCACCCUGGCCCACACCUGACGCUGAUGUGCGAAAGCGUGGGGAGUAAACAGGAUUAGAUACCCUGGUAAUCCACGCCGUAAACGAUGUCAACUGGGUGUCGGUGGUGUUACACUAUCGGUGCCGAAGCAAACGCGUUAAGUUGACCGCCCGGGGACUACGGCCGCAAGGCUAAAACUUAAAGGAAUUGAUGG